GGGGAUGUUCUGGAUUAGACAGGAUGAUUGAUUGAAACAGGUUGCGUGUUCGGGUGCUGUUCCCGAUUAUCAACAAGCAAAAUAAUAAGUGCAAACAACACUGUAAACGCUCGUAACGCAUUUGCAUAUGCGCAAGCUGCUUAGUUUGCAGCAGGAGCCUCUCGUAGUUCCCAGCUUGCCGGAACUUCGGGACAAUUAUGCAAGCCGCAGUAUGUUUAUGACGGUAGGCAUAUCAAGAUAACCGUUGGAAGUUAGCCUUUCUGGAAAAAAGGCUUUGGAAUACAGAUGGUAGUGAUUUUAUCCUAUGUAUUUUGAGCGGAAUUAAAAUCUACGCACGUAGAGAUUUGUUUGGAUCCAUUUUGGACGCGAGUUCGACUCUCGCCAUCUCCAC
rnacentral:tmRNA from 1 species